rnacentral:rRNA from 1 species
UGUAGUACAGGUGGCUGCAUGGCUGUCGUCAGCUCGUGCUGUGAAGUGUGGGUAAGUCCCGCAACGAGCGCAACCCUAUCAUCUGUUGCCAGCAUUUAAGGUGGGGACUCAGAUGAGACUGCCGGUGACAAACCGGAGGAAGUGGGGACGACGUCAAGUCAUCAUGGCCCUUAUGUCCUGGGCUACACACGUGCUACAAUGGCCGGUACAGAGUGAAGCGAAACCGCGAGGUGAAGCAAAACGCAGAAAGCCGGUCUCAGUACGGAUUGGAGUCUGAAACUCGACUUCAUGAAGUUGGAAUCGCUAGUAAUCGCGCAUCAGCAUGGCGCGGUGAAUACGUUCCCGGGCCUU